GUCACAGGCAGCCCUCCUUACAUUGCUCAAGAACAUUAGAAGGAUUAAUCAUUUAUGGAUUAUCUCCUAGAAACAAUGAUCUGGUGCAGACAGGGUGCCUUCUGGCCUCUGUGCAGGACACUGGGAGCCUCUCAGCCCAACCUCAGCCCCAGAUGGCUGCUGGAAGUCUGCUGCAUGGCUGGAUGGCCCUAAAC
rnacentral:lncRNA from 1 species